AUGAUUACGCGCGGGGAUGCACGGUGUACGUACAAGCUGGACGUCGACGCCUUCCCACCGGACACGGGCACGGGCACGGACGACCACCUGGAGUCCACGGCGCGGCGGCUGCCACAUGAUUGCGUGGCGAUCCGCAUGGCGUCCCCCGACCGCCACCAGAACGACCAGUUCGUGUGCGUCGGCAGCAAGAUCUUCGCGUUCUACAAGGACAAGGACGCCGGCCGCAGCACCAUGGUGUACGACAGCGCGACGUCGCAGGUGGCCGUAUGCCCUCCGCUGCUCGCCCCAAAGGAUCUCGCCGAGUUCCUAACUGUCGGCGUCGACAUCUACGUCAUCGAGACCGACUACGACCACUUCAACUACAACUUUGUUCCCUCGAUGGAGAAACUUGGACCGGCGCCCCACCGUGGCUGGGGUGAAUGGCGGUGGGAGUCCCUCCGCCCGCCGCCGAUCAAACUGCCCAUCUUUGUCUCGUCCCAAGCGGUGCAUCCCGACGGAUCCACCAUCUUCCUCUCCGUCGCGGACAGGGGCACCUUCUCCUUCGACACCGGCCGCCUCGCCUGGACGCGUCACGGGAGCUGGCUUCUGCCUUUCGACGACAAGGCCUGCUUCGUGCGCGAGCUUGAUGCGUGGGUCGGGCUCUGCUCACACCAAAAAGGGCACAUCGCCGUGUGCAAUGUCAUCUCACCCGAUGACGGCCGGUGUGAAUGCCUGACCUGGACAACCGUCAAGGACAGGGUGUAUAACAAUAUGUGGAAGAGGUACCUUGCCGCGAGCCUCACUUACAUAGGCAACUCUGAGUUCUGUCUCCUCGAGACCAUCACACGCAAGGGCUAUGACAUUUUCACCGAGUCCAGGACGCGGAUGCUGCUUCGACUGGCAACCUUCCGGGUUGAGCGCCAGCAUAGCGGUGAGGUUCGGGCGGUGGACAUGCGCACCAUGCUUUACAAAUGUCCUCACUGGGAGUUGGAAUGUUGUCGUUCACCUACCGCUUUCUGGAUUUGA
rnacentral:rRNA from 1 species